rnacentral:rRNA from 1 species
CCGCACAAGCAGCGGAGCGUGUGGUUUAAUUCGACGCAACGCGAAGAACCUUACCCAGAUUUGACAUGUGCCUGCAAGCGCACGGAAACGUGUGACCUACGAGGGUGGCACACAGGUGCUGCAUGGCUGUCGUCAGCUCGUGUCGUGAGAUGUUGGGUUAAGUCCCGCAACGAGCGCAACCCUCGCCGGUAGUUACACGUGUCUACCGGGACAGCUUCCCCUUGGGAAGAGGAAGGCGGGGAUGACGUCAAGUCCGCAUGGCCCUUACGUCUGGGGCGACACACACUGCUACAAUGGGCACGACAAUGCGUUGCCACGGCGCAAGCCGGCGCUAAUCGCCAAACGUGCUCGCAGUGC